rnacentral:rRNA from 1 species
CCGGACGGGUGAGUAACGNGUNGAAUCUGCCUUCAGGUCGGGGACAACCACUGGAAACGGUGGCUAAUACCGGAUAUGCCGCAACGUGAAAGAUUUAUCGCCUGAAGAGGAGCUCGCGUCUGAUUAGCUAGUUGGUGGGGUAAAAGCUCACCAAGGCGACGAUCAGUAGCUGGUCUGAGAGGAUGAUCAGCCACACUGGGACUGAGACACGGCCCAGACUCCUACGGGAGGCAGCAGUGGGGAAUUUUCCGCAAUGGGCGAAAGCCUGACGGAGCAAGACCGCGUGAGGGAGGAAGGCUCUUGGGUUGUAAACCUCUUUUCUCAGGGAAGAACAAAAUGACGGUACCUGAGGAAUAAGCCUCGGCUAACUCCGUGCCAGCAGCCGCGGUAAUACGGAGGAGGCAAGCGUUAUCCGGAAUUAUUGGGCGUAAAGCGUCCGCAGGUGGCACUUCAAGUCUGUCGUCAAAGACUGGGGCUUAACCCUGGAAAGGCGGUGGAAACUGAAGCGCUAGAGUGUGGUAGGGGUAGAGGGAAUUCCCGGUGUAGCGGUGAAAUGCGUAGAGAUCGGGAAGAACAUCGGUGGCGAAAGCGCUCUACUGGACCACAACUGACACUCAGGGACNAAAGCUAGGGGAGCGAAAGGGAUUAGAUACCCCUGUANUCA